rnacentral:sRNA from 1 species
AGUAGUCAGCAAAACACUACUUUAGAAAAUACUACCUCCUCUUGUAUUACAAGUUGUGUUUUUUUCCAGAAAUGUGAAAAAGAGAACAAAAGGAGCUAAGGAUAAAACAUUAGAUGAAGAUUCAGAAGGUAGUGAUGAUGAACUUGGUAACCUGGAUGACGAUGAAGUUUCUUUAGGAAGUAUGGAUGGUGAAGAAUUUGCUGAAGUUGAUGAAGAUGGAGGAACAUUCAUGGAUGUGUUAGAUGAUGAAAGUGAGCGCGUUCCAGAACUUGAAGCCCACUCCAAAGUCAGUACUAAGAAAAGCAAGAGAAAAGGUACAGAUGAUUUUGACUUUGCUGGCUCAUUUCAAGGGCCAAGAAAAAAGAAAAGAAACUUAAAUGAUUCCAGCCUAUUUGUAUCUGCUGAAGAGUUUGGCCAUCUAUUGGAUGAAAAUAUGGGAUCCAAGUUUGAUAACACUGGCAUGAAUGCCAUGGCUAACAAAGAUAAUGCAAGUCUCAAACAGCUUAGAUGGGAGGCUGAACGUGAUGACUGGCUACACAACAGAGAUGCAAAAAGUAUCAUCAAGAAAAAGAAACAUUUUAAAAAGAAGAGGAUUAAAACCACUCAAAAAA